UCUCACUUGGUCACAGUUAUGAAAAAUGCUUAGAAUGUUGAGAUGAUUAUGUGGUUGAAAUUUGGUGGCCGGAGGAGGAGUUGGCCGCCGCAUGAACAGUGUCAUGCGUGAACAGUGCGGGCGUCGUACCGAGCUAUUGCUCGAUGACGGAACUCGAAUGCAUGAUCGUCGGAAUAGUACUUUUGCAGGCUAGGUUAAUUGAGGUCGGGCGUACAUGGAGUCGAGGCAUAGCCAACAGCAUUGCUUCCGCGUACUAAUUCUAUUUCUGUGUUCUUUACUACCUAAUGGAAUAGUAUUGCUCUGAUAACCUGUGAAAUUAAUCUUGUAAUGUGGGUUGAGAUUGUUAUUUGUGAAAUUGGAAGUUGAUGUUAUUUGGGGAGCAGGGUGGCUCCAGGAGAAUAAGGAUGGAUGAUUUAGAAGUGUAAAUGUUUUCUACAGGUUUUGGGUAUUCCAUUUUUAGGGGAAGUUCUGCCAAAUUUUUUGUAGAAUUUCUUCUAAGGUGGGCCCCGCAGGGCCUCUCCGGAUUUCGGGGUGAAAUUCAGGGCGGGUCCUGUCAUUUAUUUUGUGUUCUCAAAAGUAAGAGCCCCACAGUGUUUUUAAUCUCAUAUCUUGAGAUUUUCACUGCGUAACCAAAAGUCUGGAGUUUUUUCUAUUAUUUCUGAUAUCUGCCCAGUAGGGAUUGAUUCAUAUACUGCAAUCUCCAUUCUCCAGAAAUUCAUAUUCUGUCCUUGUA